CCCCAACAGACAAGCCGCUAAACACUGACCCCCUGACUCUAGGGACACUUACCGAGAGCCUUUAUUUGAGACGAGGGAUCCCAUGUUACCUGCCCACACACCCAACUCUGCCUAUCACGACCCACCGCAAGCAACAGGUCAAACACACAAUUUGCGGAACGUACAGACUAAAGGAAUAGCCCCCUGGGGAAGACCGAACUGUUUACAAAGCCGAACCAUGACACGCUAGAUAAUUGGAAAGUGGCCCGAGCCAAGACGUAACGUGACCGUACAGAUUGUUAGACUAGGAGACCUAGCUACUGACAUCAGAC